ensembl:lncRNA
CAGAGAGAGGGUAUGGAGGUAGAUAAAAGAUAUAUGGAUAAAUAGAUAAGUAGAUGAAUGGACAGAUGGAUACAUACAUAGCCAGAUAUGGACAGUUGAUGAUAGAUAAAUAGACAUUGACAGAUAGGUGAUACCCAGAUAGACAGACAUAGAAAACAGAUGUGAAUAGAUAAAAGACAGGCAGAUAAUAGAUGAACACAUAGAUACAGAGAUGGAUACAUAGACAGAUAGAUAGUUACAUAGUUAGGUUAGCUACAUAGUUACAUAAGUAGGGUAGGUACAUAGGUAGGAUAGAUACAUAGUUACAUAGAUAGGAUAGAUACAUAGUUGCAUAGAUAGGCUAGAUACAAAAAAAAAGGCUAGAUACAUAGUUAACAGGUAGGAUAGAUACAUAGUUACAUAGAUAGGAUACAUACAUAGUCAUAUAGAUAGGAUAGAUACAUAGUUACAUACACAGGACAGAUACACAGUGACAUAGGAUAGAUACAUAGUUGCAUAGAUAGGAUAGAUACAUA